rnacentral:lncRNA from 1 species
UUGCUGCUUUGGCACGUGGUAAAACAGAGGUGGAAGCGCUCGCAGAAAUGAAUGAAUACUUUACUAACGUCGGUCAUUUUCAGAUUUCCGGCAAGAGCGAGCUUAGUGGCGAAACUUGUCCUGAUUCAGAUUGUCUUGUCUUG